UUCUUCCACAUUUUAUGUUUUUUUAAAUAGAGAACUCUCUUUGGUUCUUCUCCCUAGAAAACACAGAGAAGAAAAUUAAGUUUUCUUCUCCCUCCUCUCUUCCUUUCCUCUCUUUCUCAAAUUCAAGCAAAGUUCACAACUUUUACUUGAAUUCUCAAUCCGAAGAGAAUACAAAAGAUUUUUUUAGUGGUGGUGCCCAUUUUGGGGUUUCAAAUUGGAGUUCGAAGAGUUUAUGAUCCAAAUCGAGGGACUACACGAAGAAGAUUGGCUUCAAUUGGAAUGUGAUAGGUUCUCGUUCGAUCUCAUGGUGGUUCCUCUGUCUCAACUUCUCUUAAGCAGUUUUCACUCUGUAAGUUUUGCCCUUUCUCCUUAAAUGGUUAGUACCAGACAAGGAAUUCACACUUCUGAUAGCAAAUGGUGAGAUACAAAGAAAAGGCCUCGCAGAAGUUGCAUGUUGAAGAGGAUGUUCCUCUUUCCACAAUGAACAAAUAUGAAGUUUGUGUUCCUGGAUUUCCUGUUACAGAAAAAGAAGUUGAAGUUCUUUCUCCGUCAGUGAAAUGAAGGAAUUCUGGUGUUGGUCAACCUACCGAGAUGAAAGGAAAGGAAAAUAAGUUCAUUGUCUCUCACAAUGAUUGAUCUAAUUAGUGCUGGGGUUAAAAUUUUCCCGAAAAAAGAUAAGUCCUUUUCUGAUGAUUCUCCAAGUAACUUGCAUGAGUUUAUAGCAUUGCCUAGAAACCCUAAGGAUAACUUAAGCGUGGUUGUCGAAGAUCAAACUGAAGUUAGUGUUUCUGCGAGUAGGGUUACGAAUGACAAUAACUUUAUUUCUAAUGUUGAAAAUUUUGAAACUAUUCUUCCUGAAUCUGUUGUGGUUAUUGGUGAAAAUGUUGUUUCUGAUACAUUGGAGAAAGAAAAAAGUUAUCUUGCCUGAGUUUGAUGUGAAUGCUUUGCAUGAUUUUGCUAAUAAAGUUGUCUUUGAAA